rnacentral:rRNA from 1 species
UACGGAGGGGGCUAGCGUUGUUCGGAAUUACUGGGCGUAAAGCGCACGUAGGCGGCUUUGUAAGUUAGAGGUGAAAGCCCGGGGCUCAACCCCGGAAUUGCCUUUAAGACUGCAUCGCUUGAACGUCGGAGAGGUGAGUGGAAUUCCGAGUGUAGAGGUGAAAUUCGUAGAUAUUCGGAAGAACACCAGUGGCGAAGGCGGCUCACUGGACGACUGUUGACGCUGAGGUGCGAAAGCGUGGGUAGCAAACAGG